rnacentral:snRNA from 1 species
CUAUUCGGAUAGGAGGUUGAGAA